rnacentral:rRNA from 1 species
GAUGAAUGCUGGCGGCGUGCCUAACACAUGCAAGUCGAGCGGUAACAGGAGUAGUUUACCACUUGCUGACGAGCGGCGGACGGCUGAGUAACGCGUGGGAACGUGCCCCAAAGUGAGGAAUAACUGCCCGAAAGGGUAGCUAAUACCGCAUAUGAUCUUCGGAUUAAAGGAUUUAUCCGCUUUGGGAGCGGCCCGCGUCGGAUUAGGUAGUUGGUGAGGUAAUGGCUCACCAAGCCCACGAUCCGUAGCUGGUCUGAGAGGAUGAUCAGCCAGACUGGAACUGAGACACGGUCCAGACUCCUACGGGAGGCAGCAGUGAGGAAUCUUCCACAAUGGGCGAAAGCCUGAUGGAGCAACGCCGCGUGCAGGAUGAAGGCCUUCGGGUCGUAAACUGCUUUUAUAAGUGAAGAAUAUGACGGUAGCUUAUGAAUAAGCACCGGCUAACUACGUGCCAGCAGCCGCCGUAA